GAGCACCUACGGGAGGCAGCAGUGGGGAACACUGCACAAUGGGGGAAACCCUGAUGCAGCGACGCCGCGUGAGUGAAGAAGUAUUUCGGUAUGUAAAGCUCUAUCAGCAGGGAAGAUAAUGACGGUACCUGAAUAAGAAGCCCCGGCUAACUACGUGCCAGCAGCCGCGGUAAUACGUAGGGGGCAAGCGUUAUCCGGAAUUACUGGGUGUAAAGGGAGAGUAGGCGGCAAGGUAAGCGAUAUGUGAAAGCCUUAGGCUUAACCAAAGGAUUGCAUAACGAACUAUCUAGCUAGAGUACAGGAGG
rnacentral:rRNA from 1 species